GCAAGUCGUGCGAAGACUUCGGUCUUAGCGGAGGACGGGUGAGUAACGCGUGGGAACAUACCUUUCUCUACGGAACAGUCCUGGGAAACUGGGUUUAAUACCGUAUACGCCCUUCGGGGGAAAGAUUUAUCGGGGAGAGAUUGGCCCGCGUUGGAUUAGGUAGUGGGUGAGGUAAAGGCUCACCAAGCCGACGAUCCAUAGCUGGUUUGAGAGGAUGGCC
rnacentral:rRNA from 1 species